CCCUUAGAUGCUCUGGGCCGCACGCGCGCUACACUGGUCGAUGCAACGAGUUUCUUUCCUUGGCCGACAGGCCUGGGCAAUCUUUGAACAUCGAUCGUGAUCGGGAUAGAUUCUUGUAAUUUUUGAUCUUAAACGAGGAAUUCCUAGUAAACGCAAGUCAUCAGCUUGCAUUGAUUACGUCCCUGCCCUUUGUACACACCGCCCGUCGCACCUACCGAUUGAAUGGUCCGGUGAAAUCUCCGGACUGGCGUGAGUCGGAGCAAUCUGACAAACGCCGGAAAGUUGAUUAAACCUUACCAUUUAGAGGAAGGUGAAGUCGUAACA
rnacentral:rRNA from 1 species